rnacentral:lncRNA from 1 species
AAAGAACUCUAAAUUCCUAAAUAGAAGAAGACAAAGCAAAAAGAAAGAAAAAGAAAGACGACAAGGAUCAUCAUGCUGGAUUGAUGAAGUUGGAUGUCACUGGAAGAUGAGAAGAGGAGGAAGUUAAAGAAAGGGUAAUUGUAGAAUCCUUUAAAGAUGGUCUUAAAGAGGUUUUUCGGCGACCGGAAAACCAACUAAGAACGGCAACGGAAGGAUCAUCACGCUGGUGUAAAGGGAUGGGAAAG